CUUUUCCUUCUUCCCAAUCUCACUAAUUACCCCCAUUCACUCUUCCACUCCUGCUUCCUGGGAUCACCUUCCAAUUAAACCACCUGCAUCCAAUUCCUUUCUCAGGCUCUGCUUUGGGGAGAAUCCAAACUAAGAUGGGCCAUGUCACAGGGGACCAGGAGGUGGGAGGUACUGUGAUACUGACAGUCAGACCACAGAAAAAGCACACAUUUCUGCAUAUCUCUUAGGGGCCAAGCCCUUGACUUGCAGGGGGGCUGCCAAGUUCUUUGAGGGGGCCGUUGCUCUUCCAGACCUCUGUUCUGAUUGGGGAGAGUGACAGACAGAAGGGGCGAGCCAGCAGCAUGUGAGGAAUCAGAAACAUUUUGCUUUUGCCUUGGGAGCCUGUCACGUGGGCUGUGGGCAGCAGAUUGAUGUUCCUAAUUACAUUUGGCUUAGGCUGAUAUUAAGUAUCUGUCUCCUUCCCAGAGCCCACAACCCUGGCGGAUGGUGGGGAAGGUGCCAAGAGGCAUGCUGGGUAGCUAAGGAUGACAAUCUGGGAUUUUAAAUAUCCAUGAGAGAGAAACAUGGACAAGUCACAGUCGUGGGGGGCAGGGUGGCUCGUGUUCUUGAAUUGCCCUUUAAAGGUUUCCAAGGGCUACGGGGGCUUCAGAAAGGUUUUGAGGUCCAUCCUCCUGUCUUGAGGCUGACCUGUCCAAAACAGCCCAGACAGGGCAUGUGACCCUUUCUGAUGCUGGACAGCUUGCUAAGGGGAAAUGCUUUCAUGGAUCUAAUUUAAAUUUCUUCUGUUGCAGGUCAAACGUUUACUCUGCUUGAUUUUGUCCUUGGUGGCAUUAAAUAUUCACUGAGCACCUACUGUGUGCCCGGGGUACACAGUAAGAGAAGACAUGCCCUGGUUCUCUGAACGCUUGCAGGCUCACAGUCUGUAUUGGCCAGAAGCUCAUGAAAACAAGUCCAGACGCUGGGACUCAAAUGCAACAUGGGGACCCGUGGGGGGUGGAGUUGUCCGGGGUUUGGCAAGGAGAUGGGACUGUGAGAGGCAGAGAGAGUCUAGAUCAGUGCAGAAGAAUGAGGAGGGCAUUCUUGGGAGGGGAGUAAUGUGGUCAAAACAUGAGGUCCAUUGAGGAACACACUGAGGAAGAGUCUGCACAAAUCAGAUGCCUGAGGCUUGUGACAUCAUGUGCUACCCAAGAGACUGAGUUUAAACUCCUUGUGGCUGAAAACAGGACUACUAACUGUCCAGCUACCUCCUAAGGGUGAAGCUCAGAUAAGGCAGCAGGUAUGAGUAGCCCUGGAAUUCACAGCUCCAAAGCACAAUGCUGUGCUCAGUUGAAAAUGACUUCUGUUCAAAGUGUUGGCUUUGUCAUUGUGUGAUCUUGGGGAGGUCCCCGCCCCUCUCUGAGACUGUUCACUCAUCAGCAAACCGAUAAUGUUCGCAGUCUGCCGAAACCGGUUCUGCUCCUGUGCUCAUGAGGAGGACUCCUUUCAGAAGACUCGCGGGGCCACCUUCAGGUGGUUGUACCUCAAGUCCCUGAAGCAGCUCCAGAGUGUGGUGGGAGGGACCCAGGUCAGGAUUAGUUCACCACCGAGGACGCACCUGUGUUCCCCCAGAGCAGCGCUAAGCCCGAGGGUCGUACGGGCACACCUGGGGCAGGGCUCGUCCUGUCUCUAGAACGCAGCUUUUAUAACCCGGGCUUCGGUACAGAGCUCAGAGCUCGCGGCGACGUGGAAAGAGCGGGCUCCCAGAGAAAUGCCAGCCCGGCUGCACGCCAGUUGUCUCAGUCACUUCCGAUCCUGACCCUCAGUUUCCUCCUCUGUAAAACUGGCUACGAGCCCCCCUGGGCCACCUUCUCGCUGCGGGAACGAGACUGAAACGGGUGCUGCGCCCCUCGGUGCAGGGGUCUGCAAGACGCAGGGGGUUCAGGCUGAGUCCCGACGGGCGGCUGCCACGCCCCUCUCGGCCCGCCGCUCGGCCCUCCCAGCCCGCCGGCCGACUCCGCGCACCUCCAGGGGGCGAGCCUGGCGGUCGUUUCGGCCCGCGCGGCGCCUCGGCCAUCUAGCGUGUGACUUCGCCAGCGGCCCGGGGCCAACCGGGCACGCAGAGCCCGGGUCGCCGCCCAUCCCCCGCCCUAGCUGGCAGGUGCCAGGACCCAGCUCGCCCGGCCGCCAGGCGGCCGCGGGCCUGAAGGGGUUAAGGCCGCGGGGCCUGGGCGCCGGCCCCGGGCUUGGCGAGCCGCUGUGCCCGGCGGCCGCAACCGAUCCCGGAGGCGCGGGGCACGGCGGCUGGCGGGCGGGCGUGCGUUUCCUCCUCCUUCCGCCUCCUCCUUUGUAGCGAGUUCCCGGCCCCUCUUCCUCCCCCCGCCCCCCA
ensembl:lncRNA